GUGGAGUAGAGCGGAAGAAUUACUUCUUGUGUCUUGCUUACAACACUCCUGCUAAUACCUCCCAGAAUGACGUUCGUUUUUCUUGCAACAGCGUUAGACUGUUGCCUCAUAUUUAGCUUGUGAUCCACUAUGACCCCCCAGAUCUCCUUUUGCAGUACUCCUUCCUAGGCAGUCAUUUCCCAUUUUGUAUGUGUGCAACCGAUUGGUCCUUCCUAAGCAGUGUACUUUGCAUUUGUCCUUACUGAAUUUCACCCUAUUUACUUCAGACCAUUUCUCCAGGUUGUCCAGAUAAUCUU